UACGUAGGGGGCUAGCGUUGUCCGGAUUUAUUGGGCGUAAAGAGCGUGUAGGCGGCUAGACAGGUCCGUUGUGAAACUAGAGGCUUAACCUCUAGACGUCGAUGGAAACCGUCUGGCUAGAGUCCGGAAGAGGAGAAUGGAAUUCCUGGUGUAGCGGUGAAAUGCGUAGAGAUCAGGAAGAACACCGGUGGCGAAAGCGCUCUGCUGGACCUUAACUGACACUGAGGGACGAAAGCUAGGGGAGCGAAUGGG
rnacentral:rRNA from 1 species